rnacentral:rRNA from 1 species
UACGGAGGAUGCGAGUGUUAUCCGGAUUCAUUGGGUUUAAAGGGUGCGUAGGCGGAAUAUUAAGUCAGCGAUGAAAUCCUGCAGCUUAACUGUAGAACUGUCAUUGAUACUGGUAUUCUUGAAUUCAGUUGAGGUAGGCGGAAUGUGUAAUGUAGCGGUGAAAUGCUUAGAUAUUACACAGAACACCGAUUGCGAAGGCAGCUUACUAAACUGUUAUUGACGCUGAGGCACGAAAGCGUGGGGAGCAAAC